UGCCGCGUGUGUGAAGAAGGUCUUCGGAUUGUAAAGCACUUUAAGUUGGGAGGAAGGGCAGUAAAUUAAUACUUUGCUGUUUUGACGUUACCGACAGAAUAAGCACCGGCUAACUCUGUG
rnacentral:rRNA from 1 species